GCAAGUCGAACGGAAACGAUGGAAGCUUGCUUUCAGGCGUCGAGUGGCGGACGGGUGAGUAACGCGUAAAGAAUUUGCCCUUCAGACUGGGACAACUAAUCGAAAGGUUAGCUAAUACCGGAUAUUAUGAGACCUUGGCAUCAAGGACUUAUGAAAGCUAUAUGCGCUGGAGGAGAACUUUGCGUUCCAUUAGCUAGUUGGUAGGGUAAUGGCCUACCAAGGCGACGAUGGAUAGCCGGCCUGAGAGGGUGAAC
rnacentral:rRNA from 1 species